rnacentral:rRNA from 1 species
AUGGCCUCGGAGACCGCGCCGUUCGGCCUCACGGGGACGGCGCACAGGCCGCACGGCCACGUCGUGCUCGCCGCGCGCGUCCACGACGCGCUCGUCUUCGCCGCGGGCGCCGUCGCGGCCGUGCUCCUCCUCCUCUGCUUCUCAUCCCUGCUCGCUCCAACGCCCGUGCCCAACCUCGUCGCCGGCCCCUCCCUCCCCUUCCCCACCUCCUUCCCGCAGCCGCAGGAGAACGACUCCGAGGACGGCCUCUACGCCAGGGUCGCCGCACGCCCGCGCACCUUCUACGACGACCCCAAGCUCUCCUACGCCGUGGGCCGGCGGGUGGCCGGCUGGGACGCGAAGCGGGCCGAGUGGCUGCGCCUGCACUACCCGCGCGGCCCCGGGGAGCGCGUCCUCAUGCUCUCCGGCUCCCAGUCCUACCCCUGCGCCGGCGACGGCGGCGACCACAUGCUGCUCCGCUUCCUCAAGAACAAGGUCGACUACGCGCGCCUCCACGGGAUCGAGCUGCUCUACAACACGGCGCUGCUGCAGCCCGACAUGGUGGCCUACUGGGCCAAGAUCCCCGUGGUGCGCGCCGCCAUGCUCGCCCACCCGGAGGCCGAGUGGGUCUGGUGGCUCGACGCCGACGCCGUCGUCACCGACAUGGACUUCGCGCCCCCGCUCGCCACCAGGUACAAGGACUACAACCUCGUCGUCCACGGCUGGGACAGGGAGGUGUACGAGGCCAGGUCCUGGGUCGGCCUCAACGCCGGCGUCUUCCUCAUCCGCAACUGCCAGUGGUCGCUCGACUUCAUGGACGCAUGGGCCAGCAUGGGCCCGGCCUCGCCGCAGUACGCGCGAUGGGGCAAGACCCUCAAGGCCACGCUCAGCGACAAGCCCGACGCCGAGUCCGACGACCAGUCGGCGCUGGCAUACCUGCUGCUCAAGAACCCCAAAAAAUGGGGCGCCAGGACCUACCUCGAGAACCAGUACUACUUCCAGGGCUACUGGGCGGAGAUCGUGGACAAGCUCGACGGCGUCGCGGAGCGGUACCGGGCGGCGGAGCGGCGGUUCGGGCCCGCGCUCCGGCGGCGGCACGCGGAGGGGGAGCACGCGGUGUACGCGGCGGCGAGGAACGCGGCCCUCAGGAAGAAGGACGGCGGCGUCCCGGGGCCCGACGGGGGCGGGCAGAAGGCGUCCGCCUGGCGCCGGCCCUUCGUGACGCACUUCACCGGAUGCAACCCCUGCGGCGGCAGGCCCAACGAGAUCUACUCCAACGAGAGCUGCGCCGAGGGGAUGCGGCGCGCGCUCAACCUCGCCGACGACCAGGUGCUCCGCGCCUACGGAUUCCGCCACGCCGGGCCGCUCAAGGACGACGUGCGCCCGCUCGUAGCCUAG